CGGACGCGCACGCGCGCGGCCAGCCCGACCUCGCCUCUGAGGGUGAGGAGUUGGUCAUCCCAGCCGGUCGGGAAGAGGUGGAGAGGUUCAUCGACAGCACGGUCGCCAACUGCCAGAUGCUGCUGGAGCUCAGCCUGCCGUUGCUGGAGGCCAUCCUGCCCAGCAAGCGCUUCUACGAGCUCAUCUACAACAGACUGGCCACAGACCUGGCGCUCUGGGAGCCGGCGGCGCCCGGCAGCUGCGCCAGCCCGGAGG